rnacentral:pre_miRNA from 1 species
GAUAUACUCCCUCCGUCCGGAAAUACUUGUCAUCAAAAUGAAUAAAAGGGGAUGUAUCUAGAUGUAUUUUAAUUCUAGAUACAUCCCUUUUUGUCCAUUUUGAUGACAAGUAUUUUCGGACGGAGGGAGUAUGUG